UCCCUCAUAGCUCAGUUGGUAAAGAAUCUGCCUGCAGUGCAGGAGACCUGGGUUCAAUACCUAGGUUGGGAA
rnacentral:tRNA from 1 species